rnacentral:rRNA from 1 species
GGUAGCAUAAUCAUUUGUCUUUUAAUAAGAGGCUGGGAUGAAUGAGCCAACAAUACUAAGACUUUUAAACCUAGUAAUAAAAAUUAAUAUCUACGUAAAAAAGCGUAGCUUCCUAGAAAGACGAUAAGACCCUAUAAAACUUACAUCACUAACACAAUAAAUAUUUAGAAUUUCUCUUUAAACUAAGUGAUUAAGCUGGGGCGGCAACUAAUAGACACUCGAAAAUAAAACAUAAAUUUAUGAAAAGCUAGAUCUUUUUAAAGAAUAGAAAAAGUUACUUUAGGGAUAACAGCGUAAUUUCUCCUAGUUAUCUUUAUUAUGAGAAGACUUACGACCUCGAUGUUGAAUUGAGGAGCCAGCCUUAGAAAUAAGAGAUGGAGGUCUGUUCGACCUUUAAUCCCUCACACGAUUUG